UACGAAGGGUGCAAGCGUUACUCGGAAUUACUGGGCGUAAAGCGUGCGUAGGUGGUUCGUUAAGUCUGAUGUGAAAGCCCUGGGCUCAACCUGGGAAUGGCAUUGGAAACUGGCGACCUAGAGUGCGGUAGAGGGCAGUGGAAUUCCCGGUGUGAGCAGUGGAAAUGACGUAGAGAUCGGGAGGAACAUCUGUGGCGAAGGCGACUGCCUGGACCAGCACUGACACUGAGACGCGAAAGCUAGGGGAGCGAACAGG
rnacentral:rRNA from 1 species